UGGCAGUAGGCUAAUUGAAAUAAAGUCCAAAAUCUAAAUGUAUAGCAUAGUUCAAUUCAAGAAUACACAAAAUCCGUUUUACCAUUCCGGCUAAAGAUUCAUUUAUUACACGCAAAAUGGCCAAAGUGUAUCUGUUUCGCAAAAUGGAAUCUGGACUCAAUCAGCAGCAAUUGGAGAUAUGUGAUGAGGCCAUCUCAAGCAUCUUGGAUGAUGUCUUCAAGGGUAACACAAGCACUAUAAUUAAUUACUGCGAUUUGCCCGCUUUCAGUCCAUUUGGGGAUCAAAUUGAGAAGCAGGAUAUAUUGGGUCGCAUAUUAAACCAACUUUUUAGCCAUGUUUAUGCCAUGGAGGUUACAAUGGAGUUAAACAUCUGCAUUAAUCAUAUGCUAUUUUUUUACGAGAGCAACACAGCCACUGCCAUUGAAGACAUCAACAGAGAUCAGAAUCGAGAUCACUUUGUGGCAUCUCCGAUUGCUGCUUAUUUGUACAUGAGAAGAAUCCUAAAUCAAUUUUUACCCAAUGACCAAAGAAAAUGCUCCCAUGUGCGUUUUACCAUCUGUGUGAGGCAAACGAAUCUGGAAGAAUCCCUUAACCUUAAUGGCAAACUCCAACUCAUCCAUUUAAUGCGAGUUGAUCAAGUCGAGCUAAAUAAAUUAACAACGCCAUUGAGUUCGCUUUUUAAAAUGAUCAGCGCACUGGCCAAAAAUCGAAAAACUCACUUGAGAUACUACAACAUAAGACUUGAAGGGUUGCUCAAGGAAUUGCUGGGCUAUAAUAAGAGUACAGUGAUUAUCAACUAUACGAUGCAAGACCCAACGCUUAAGUCGGCAAAGAUUGGUUGUGUCAAGUUGUGGAAGGCACUGUACAAGCGCAAGUUUAAAAUGUACAAAAGUUUACAUGAUAAACUAUUGGGAGUAGAGUUCUUGCACGAUGGUCAUCAAUUGGAGCUAGAUGAUAUAGUGAACAUUUUAAAGAAGAACGACAAUAACUGUCGACUGAAAUUGGAGGUGAGAAAACGCCUCAGUGGCGAAAUUAAUUAUACAAAUAAAUCAGAAAACGUAAAGCAGCCGCCUGUUGUUUAUGAGGAAGUGCAGAAAAUCAAAUUGGAUGCAAAAGUGAACAUAGAGAAUAUAUUGGAGCUGCAGGAAAUUGUCGCAAAGCUGGCGAAUAACUUGCAACAAAGUGUGCAACAGUUGGAGGAGAAGAAUAAAAUGAUUGGCCGCUUGAACGGAAUGUUGGCCAAAGCCAACAAUGAGGUGCAGGAGCAGAGAAUUCUCUAUCAGCGUAAUCUCGCCUUUUACUCGGAAAUGUUCAAGAGAUUGUGGCGUCAACAGAGCAACACAUUAAAGCUGCAGGAACAGCAGCGGGAUGAGCAGUUGGCCGAGAUGUUUGAUACAAUAUGCAAUGAGUUGCAUGGCACGUUGCUGCCACAACUUGCAACUAUAGAUGGCCAUCUUGAUGCCACCAAUGAGAGUUGCGGACGCUAAGGCAGACAAUUAAGAGAUGCUACAAACACACCACACUUAAAGGGCAACAAGCUGCUCUCUGCACUCUCUUUCCCCUCACCCUUCCCUCUGUCUGCUGUUGCUGCCAAGUCACGACACAAAGUCGCAUCACACAUUUGCUGUGUGCAACCUUUUGCCAUUUAACUGACAGCGACCAAAGCGAAAGAUUGCAAAUUCUGCAGUUCGGGCACUUUAGACAUUUUCAAGGUCUGCUUUGCAAUGCUACUAUGCGCACAUAAAAAAUUUGAUAAAGUUACAACCUUUUUUUUUACAGAUCGUAACAAUG